CUCUACCAGAAGCACCAAACACACCAUAACCUGCUACAGGUAAAGUGGAGGCAAGGAGGGCUGUCAGUGUCCCACCACUGCAAGAGACAUUAAAAUAUAUUCUUACAUUCAAGAGAUCCAAGGAAGAGGGCCAUGGACCCAGCUACAAAGGAAGUGAGCCAGAUUCAAGAGCAGUACUGGAGGGUGCUCUGGGCAAUGCCUAUCCCACAGCCUGGCGAUUACAGCCUUUCAUCAGGAAAUGGAAGAUAGAGCUGCAAACCUGCCUGGGGAAAGGGAGCAAACCUGUUUGCAGGGGAGUGUGUUUUGUGAAGAAGAGUUCUGGGCCUCCCCAAGCUGAGCAGUUAACAACUAGGAUCAUGCAGUCAUGUGCUGUUUGCAUUUUACUAAUUUGAUUUUUAUAUUCAUCUAUGAUUAGGUUUUUCCCCAAAUAAAGAUAUUUGUGGUUUUGUAUUA